UUCUUUGACUUCGCGUUUGGAAGAUGGCACGCUAUUCAGGUGAGGAAGCUCUUCAGAUGAUUUUGGACAGUGAGGAAGAAUUGACCUUUUUCUCAGAAGAAGAUUGCGACUCCGACGACGAACGGGUGCAUUUUGAAGAGUGAACUGAUCGAGCUGAGGAUUUUCCUGCAAGUUGUUAUGAUGAGUAAGUCUUGUAUAAUUCCUAUUCUGAUAAUAUAAAAGAGAAAUCAUUUUUCAGACUUUGUUUUGCCUAGUUUUGGCUAGCUUUUGGCAGCCUACGUGAAACAUUGCCUUUCAAUGUCAAUUACAAAUGUCCGCAAAUAUCUGCUCAAGUGUAAAUUUUUGUAAUGUGGUACAUUCUAAACAUUAUUAUUUCUAAUAGUAGCUUGCUUUUACAAAUAUCUGCUAAAGUGUAAAUGUUUCAUAUAUUUAUACAAAUUAUGUCCAUUUAACGGUGUUCGCUAAUGUCUCAGGCAUCUCAUGGCCCAUCAACAGAUAUUUGUCACCUAUCAACAGAUAUACACUGUGCGUCCAUACCCAUUAAUUGCCCACCUGUUUACUUUCAAUAAUGUAUGCUAAAAAUUUUUUAGUUAUUUAUUUUUUUUUAGGAAUGUGGUUGCAUCACCCUCGCCUUCACCAGCACCUCGCACCGGGGCACGCAGGUGACGUUCAGUUUUCAGUGUGAUCGAGAAUCAUACUGAACGUGACAGUGAAAAUGAUCAGCAACCUGUUCUAAAGAGAGCAAAGGCAAACAAACAGGCACAUGGAGGACAAAGACAUUUCCAUGUCCUGCACCUGUGACUGCAUACAACCAGCACAUGGGGGGUAUUGACCUGUCUGAUCAGCUGCUACAGUACUACACUACACAGCACAAAACAAUGAAGUGGUACAGAAAGAUUUUUCUACACUUCUUGGACAUUGCUGCCACCAAUGCUUUCAUUGUGCACAAAGAGCUAUAUAGUAACUUGUCCCAUAAAGAGUUGGGAACAACUUAUCAGAGCUUUGUGGUGUCUCACAGAAAGUAGCACCAAAAUGGACCAGUAGUGACCAUGUACCAGUUCCAGGAACUGACCUGACCUCAGAUGCCAGGAAUGUUGCCUCUGCUGGUCGCAAGAGCUGUGUGCAUUGCAAAGCAGUGCAUGGUAAGAAACAAAAAACACCAUGGAAAUGCCAGGCAUGCGAUGUGCACCUAUGUCUUCAAUUGAACAGGAACUGCUUUCAAGAGUGGCACAGAGAUGUAUGAUUGUGUAUAGGGUGUAAGAGUGGGCUUUUACAAACCUUACACCCUUUUUAUUUUGCACUGUUCCUGUUUGCACUGUACAACUACAUGUUUCAUGUGUAAAUUUUUUACACUGAAUGUCUGUUUUUGCACAGUUUUGCCCUGAAUGUAUCUUCUGUACCACUACAUGUUUCAUGUGUAAAUUCAAGUAUAUGUCUUAAGUUUUAUGUAAAGUACAUGUAUAAGACAACUCUUUCAGUAUGUUUGCUAUGUGUAGGUUUAUAUACACUCCUGUGUUGUUUUUUUGUUUGUUUCUAAUAAACUGUUUACAUGCA